CCUAUUCCUGCGGCCUCGGCCUGUCCGCCUGUAUUUUAGGGGGCCCGUGGGGCGUGGGGGCACGGGCACCCGCACAAGCUGCGCUGCCAGUGCCAGCGCUCACUCGAACGCCGAGACCCGAGAGGAGCAAACAGCCAAAAAGAACGGAAAGGGGAGAGCAAACAGCCAAAAAAGGACGGACUUGCGCGACAGGGUCGAAGACUCAGAAGGGGAAUCUCCGGAGGAUGGAGGUGGGCAGGACUCCGCGGCGACGGGCGUCCCCAGCGGCAGCGGCGGCGGCGGCGGCGGCGGCUGUGCCUUCGCUGCUUCUGUUCGCCGUGCUAUUCGUGGGCCGGGCGGCGGCAGCGUUGGGCGGCCCGGGGCCGGCGCUAUACAAGCACGCGUCGUUCUUCGACCGCGACGGCGACGGCGUCGUCUCCUUCGCGGAGACGUACGGCGCGUUUCGGGCCCUCGGGUUUGGACUCGGCCUGUCCAGCGCCAGCGCCGCCUUCAUCAAUGGCGCCCUUGGCAGCAAGUGCAGACCUCAAAACGCGACGUCGUCGAAACUGGACAUCUACAUAGAGGACAUCCGGAGAGGGAAGCACGGGAGCGACUCCGGCUCGUACGACGCCCAAGGAAGGUUCGUUCCGGAGAAGUUCGAGGAGAUAUUCGCCAGGCACGCGAGGACGGUCCCCGACGCCCUGACCUCGGACGAGAUCGACCAGCUGCUCCAAGCGAACAGAGAGCCCGGGGACUACAGCGGCUGGGCUGGCGCGGAAGCGGAGUGGAAGAUCCUGUACAGUCUCGGCAAGGACGGGGACGGCCUCCUCCGCAAGGACGUCGCGAGGAGCGUCUACGACGGGACACUGUUCCACCGGCUCGCGCCCAGAUGGAAAUCUCCCGACAGCGACAUGGAGAGAAGCUGAUAAGCGUGGUCCGGGAGAACUGAACCGAGAGGACCGUCCUAUUGAUGUCGUCUUGCGCUGGGCUGCUCUGAACUGAACAAGUCUGGACAUGCCGUCAAGCGACAUGUGGGUGUGAACACUCUUUCGGGUCAGAUUAUUAACAAGAAGGGUGUGACCGUGUGAGUGUGAACAGAAUCGGCCGUAUAGAUGUACAUGAGGCACGGGCCCGUUGACCCGGCCCGAGGCCCGUUUUUUUGGCCCGGUUCGCGCCCGGCCCGGCACGUAUGGGAUGAGCCCGGGCUGGCACGGCCCAGUGGAGCAGGCCGUGCCUGGGCCGCUGGCCAGACACGUGGGCCGGCACGGCACGACCUGCUCCACGCGGACAACCCGGUCGGGGCCCGUAGCCGACGCCGCCCGUGCCCCUUACCUCCUCGCCUCCUCGCCCCAUGGGGCCCACCUCUCAGUCCCUCCGCUCGCGCUCGCACUCGCACCCUGCUCCCUCUCUCUCCCGACUCGGCGGCGAUUGACUUGGCGAUUGGCGAUUCCCCUCCGAUGCCUCCGUCGCGGCGCCGCCCCUGUCCAGCGACCUCGGCUCCCGUCCCCGACGCCGGUGACCUCGAUCCACCAGCUCCUCUCUAACCCCUCUCCCCUCUCUCUCGGUGAACUAUGUGAGUUCGUGUUGUCGUCUCGUCCUCCCCUCCGGCCCUCCCCAGCUCGCCGUCGUCUCUAAUCGGUCUCUGUCUGUCGUGUGUCGUCUGGGUGGCCCCCGUGUUCUCCGGCAUCGGGCUCCGGUAGCACAGGUAAACCCUAACCCUAACCCUAGAUCUUUCGUAAACCCUAACCCUAACUGUAUAAUGUUUUGCUCUUUUGUAGGUCAGUUGCUGAUGCCUCGUCUUCCUCCUCUGGGGUAGAUCGGGCACGGCGACUGCGUGCUCCGUUGAGGGACGGUGCUGGAGAUCGACCGUCCGCGGUGAAGGUCGCCAUGGCGGAUGAUGACGAUGUCAAUCCGGUCACCGGCAACGACGACCUUCACGCGGCAGGGCUUGUCCCAGAUGACGAAGACGACAUCCAGGCUGACGCGGCUGCUUUGCUCGGUAUCGAUCUAACCUCUGCUCCUGUCGAUCUAAGUUCUAAUCCGACCAACGCUGGUGGAGGGCCUGCUACGGCCACCGAUACUCCGGUCGGCUCCACCAGCACCGAUGGUGGUACUGGUACCUCAUCUGUUGGUAAGCG
rnacentral:misc_RNA from 1 species